UACAGGGUAGUCCACCUGAGACAGACAGUGCACAGAGGAGUACUGAGCUGUGUGUGGAUACACACAGGUAUUUCAAGAUUCCUGUGAGCUACGGCCACAGAUGCAUCUACUCAGAGAUUACAACUUUAUCUGACUGUGGGAGGAUCUAUAGGGACUGUGACCCUAGAUCUCACAUCAUGGUUUGGAGGCCAUGUGUAAUUGAAGACCAAACUGACGCUGCACUGGACCCAUGGGAACCCGAGUGGCUGGGUCAUGAGCCAUGGCUUCAAGUGGGAGUAGGGGGCCUUUUAUCCCUGGCCUGGUCUACUGGGCCACCUUGCCGAGAGUUACAGGGUGAGACCGUGGGGUUUUCAAGAUGGAUCACGAGAGCUUCAUUGAGAGCAGAGCUUUCCCAACCUACACAGGCAGGAGCAGCUCAGGAAGGUGUAAGUAGUGUGGGCAUGGGCCUGCUCCUAGUUCUAGUGUGAACAGGAAGGAAGGGAAUGGAGGUUGCAGACCCCAGCCCCAGCCCCUAGUGAUUGGUAGUCUAAGUGGUCCAAAUAGGCUGGUCAGAGGCUCUCAAUGCCCAGCACCCAGGGCUACACACACUGGCCUUUAUUCUCAAGAAGCCUCUCUGUGGGACAGACUUGCAGUCCCCCACUACCCCUGGUGGGAUUCCCAGAAGAGUGUGAAAUGGGUCCUUUGUGCUGGGACCACCAUCUCAUUCUUGAAAACAAGCCCCAAGCAGCAGAAGAUAAAAGGGAGGGGAAAAGACUUUAGGGCGGGCCUAGUGGUGACAUCAGGGAAGGGAACCUUUUCUAAGUUCCAGCUUUGUCACAGCAAGACCAAGAGGCAUUGGAAAGUGAGGAACACUAUCCUUGGAGCAGGAGGUUAGUGACUCAUUUAUGGCCCUGGGGCUGGGUGCAUGAGGGGGCUUACCAGAGAAUCCACUGGGGAGAGACUGGGAAAAGUGAUAAGGCCCCACAAGUUGAGGGACUCAAGUGUAGCCUGGAGACCUGAGCAUCUUCUCCAGAUCCUAUGAGGGUUUCAGAAGACACUUGGAACUAAGGACAUACAAAAAGGGCUGGUGGGCAGCAGAGGGGAACUUAUGUCCAUCAGCUGUGACCACCCUGGCCAUGAAGUAGGGAGGGGUCUGGCUUCAGAGUGAGUCCAGAAGGCAGGGCCAUUUCUGUGGCACUUCAUAGGCAGAUGGAGCAGUGGUCCAUAGCACUGACACCUUAGUUUAAAUUUUCUGGAUGGAUGCAUAUAUACACUCUAGAGCAGUGGUCCUCAAUUUUCCUAAUGCUGUGGCCCUUUAAAAAGUUCCGCAUGUUGUGGUGACCCUCAAUCAUGAAAUUAUUUUUGUUGCUACCU
ensembl:sense_overlapping 9230112E08Rik RIKEN cDNA 9230112E08 gene